AAAUUUGAAAUCUGGCCCUCCGGCCCGAGUUGUACUUUGCAGAGGAUGCUUCUGGCGCGGCGCCUUCCAAGUCCCCUGGAACGGGGCGCCGGAGAGGGUGAGAGCCCCGUACGGUCGGCCGCCAAGCCUGUGCGAAGCUCCUUCGACGAGUCGAGUAGUUUGGGAAUGCUGCUCUAAGCGGGAGGUAGACCCCUUCUAAAGCUAAAUAUUGGCCAGAGACCGAUAGCGCACAAGUAGAGUGAUCGAAAGAUGAAAAGCACUUUGAAAAGAGGGUUAAACAGCACGUGAAAUUGUUGAAAGGGAAGCGCUCGUGCCCAGACGUGCGCCGGGGCGAUCAUCUGGCGUUCUCGCCGGUGCACUCGCCCCGGCGCAGGCCAGCGUCGGCUCGGGCGGGGGGACAAAGGCGUCCGGCAUGUGGCCCCUCCGGGGGUGUUAUAGCCGGGCGCGUCAUGCUCCCGCCCGGGCCGAGGUCUGCGCUCUGCAAGGACGCUGGCGUAAUGGGCACUGGCGGCCCGUCUUGAAACACGGACCAAGGAGUCGAGGUCUUGCGCGAGUGUCUGGGUGCCAAACCCGCACGCGCAAUGAAAGUGAACGCAGGUGGGAGCUUCGGCGCACCACCGACCGAUCCUGAUGUUCUCGGAUGGAUUUGAGUAGGAGCGUGGGGCCUCGGACCCGAAAGAUGGUGAACUAUGCUUGGAUAGGGUGAAGCCAGAGGAAACUCUGGUGGAGGCUCGCAGCGGUUCUGACGUGCAAAUCGAUCGUCAAAUCUGAGCAUGGGGGCGAAAGACUAAUCGAACCAUCUAGUAGCUGGUUACCGCCGAAGUUUCCCUCAGGAUAGCAGUGUUGUCUUCAGUUUUAUGAGGUAAAGCGAAUGAUUAGGGACUCGGGGGCGCUCUUUAGCCUUCAUCCAUUCUCAAACUUUAAAUAUGUAAGAAGCCCUUGUUGCUUCGCUGAACGUGGGCACUCGAAUGCAGCAACACUAGUGGGCCAUUUUUGGUAAGCAGAACUGGCGAUGUGGGAUGAACCAUACGCGGGGUUAAGGUGCCGGAGUGGACGCUCAUCAGACACCACAAAAGGUGUUAGCACAUCUGGACAGCAGGACGGUGGCCAUGGAAGUCGGAAUCCGCUAAGGACUGUGUAACAACUCACCUGCCGAAUGUGCUAGCCCUGAAAAUGGAUGGCGCUCAAGCGUCCCACCC
rnacentral:rRNA from 1 species